rnacentral:tRNA from 1 species
GAGGGUAUAGCUCAAGCGGUAGAGCGCAUGCUUAGCAUGCACGAGGUCCUGGGUUCAAUCCUUGGUACCUCCC